rnacentral:rRNA from 1 species
AAUAGAUACCCAGGUAGUCCACGCCGUAAACGAUGAGUGCUAAGUGUUAGAGGGUUUCCGCCCUUUAGUGCUGAAGUUAACGCAUUAAGCACUCCGCCUGGGGAGUACGGCCGCAAGGCUGAAACUCAAAGGAAUUGACGGGGGCCCGCACAAGCGGUGGAGCAUGUGGUUUAAUUCGAAGCAACGCGAAGAACCUUACCAGGUCUUGACAUCCUCUGACAACCCUAGAGAUAGGGCUUCUCCUUCGGGAGCAGAGUGACAGGUGGUGCAUGGUUGUCGUCAGCUCGUGUCGUGAGAUGUUGGGUUAAGUCCCGCAACGAGCGCAACCCUUGAUCUUAGUUGCCAUCAUUAAGUUGGGCACUCUAAGGUGACUGCCGGUGACAAACCGGAGGAAGGUGGGGAUGACGUCAAAUCAUCAUGCCCCUUAUGACCUGGGCUACACACGUGCUACAAUGGACGGUACAAAGAGCUGCAAGACCGCGAGGUGGAGCUAAUCUCAUAAAACCGUUCUCAGUUCGGAUUGUAGG